UGCUUCUGAUUUGACGAACAUUAAAUAGUUGUUGAUUGAAAUAACAUUAUUUUUAUCCUUUUUUUUUCACAACAGCAGAACUGAUUGAAUCCCCAAAACAUUCCAACAAAUCUUCAAAACUUGAUAAAUAUUCAAUUAAUUAAAAUGUUACAUUUAAAUAUAAUAAUUUUGACUAUUAUUUGUUGUUUCAUGAGCAAAGUUUUUGGAUUGGUUUUUGGGGAUUGUAGAAUUAUGGUUUNNNNNNNNNNAAAAGGUAUAAGCUUAUAUAUUUAAACAUACACUUAUCAGAAUUAAACGAUAAACUUCUUAGGUUUACCGCAUUGCUAUUUAAUAACUUAUUUAAUUAAACUUGGUUGGACAUGGCAUAUUAUCUAUCAAUGUACUUAAUUCAAAAUUAAUCCGACAUGGCACGUCGAACAAUUUGUUUAUACAAAUAAGUAGGGCAUGGUAUGUCUAACAAUCAACAUACUUAAUGGAAUUUAAAUGGACAUGGCAUGUCGAACAAACAACGUAAUGCAAUUUAUUAGGGCAUGACAUGCCGAACAACUUAAUCCAACAUGCNNNNNNNNNNAACUUAAUGCAAAUUAAUCCGACAUGGCAUAUCAAACAAACAACUUUACGUAAUGCAAAUUAAUCGGACAUGGCAUGUAUAACAACUUACCCAUCCCAUCAUAAUCCAACAUGCCAUAGCUAACAACUUGUUCAAUUUAACUUAACAUGUACAAACGACUUACUCAAUCCAACAAAAUCGGGCAUGACAUGUCAAACAACUUACCCAAAUCCAACAAAUUCUUUCUUUUCCCGUCAUACUGUAGAUACCAUUGUUCUAACUUUUAUUCAUCCAUCUACUUCCUUACUUCUUCAAAUAAUCCGGAUAUUCUGUUUGACAAUACAUUCUUCAUGUUCUUCUUAUUUUUGUUUAUUAAAUUAAAAAUCAAAAUUAAAAUCAAAAAAAAGUACAUAAGCAAAUAUACUGACAUAUACAUAGUUAACUAUAUGUUUAAACUUAAUUUAGGAAAUCUGAUCCAUUUUAUACACUUGAUACAAAUCAAUAGGUGUUUAAACAGGAUGCAAAUAAUUCUUUAAAAAAUGACAUUAUGUCAUUUCUUUCUUUUUUAUUUUAUACCCCUCUUACUUCAUCGUAAUGUGGUUGUUCAAAUUGUACUAAAUAGCUAUAACCAGACGAGUCUUUAUAUAGCAUAUCACUUAAAAAUUGCAUUAUUCUAGAUGUAAUAUUAUUAAUUCUGUCAUCAUCGAAGUAUUCUUUAAUUACAUCAUCUCUACCAAUUAAUGCUUUAAUUCUUGAUUUAUAAUUUUUUAUAUUCAAAUUAGUAGUACCUAAUACAUCCGAUAAUUCAUGUGACCAAAAUCUAGCAUACUUAAAUUCCUUUAACAUAGAAUCAUCGAAUGAUAUGAUUCCAUCAUAACAUACAUAAAAAUCAAAUGUACGUUGCAAUAUUCUAUGUGCCAUUGCAUUAAUUCUAUAUUCAUCAUAAAACGCUUUUUUCUUAUCUAAUAAAUAAUUAAUUAUAACUUUGAUAUCCUCGAUC
ensembl:lncRNA